CUACGGGCGGCUGCAGUGGGGAAUAUUGGACAAUGGACCAAAAGUCUGACCCAGCAAUUCUGUGUGUUUGAUGAAGGCCUUCGGGUUGUAAAGAACUUUAAGCAGGGAAGAAGAAAGUGACGGUACCUGCAGAAUAAGCGACGGCUAAAUACGUGCCAGCAGCCGCGGUAAUACGUAUGUCGCAAGCGUUAUCCGGAAUUAUUGGGCAUCAAGGGCGUCUAGGCGGUUUAGUAAGUCUGAUGUGAAAAUGCGGGGCUCAACUCCGUAUUGCGUUGGAAACUGCUAGACUAGAGUUUUGGAGAGGUAGGCGGAACUACAAGUGUAGAGGUGAUAUUCGUAGAGAUUUGUAGGAAUGCCGAUGACGAAGGUAGCUUACUGGACAAAUACUGACGCUGAAGCGCGAAAGCUAGGGGAGCAAACAGGAUUAGAUACCCUCGUAGUC
rnacentral:rRNA from 1 species